GAUGAACGCUGGCGGCAUGCCUAAGACAUGCAAGUCGAACGAGAGGGCCCAAGGAGAGAGAAAGAAAUGGAAAGUGCUUGCACUGGAAAUGGAAAGCUUUCGAAUUGGAAUUUCCCUCGAGUGGCAAACGGGUGAGUAACACGUGGGUUACCUACCUCUAUGAUGGGGAUAACAGUUGGAAACGAUUGCUAAUACCGAAUGUGCUCUACGGAGUAAAGAAGCCCUUAAAGCUUCGCAUAGAGAUGGGCCUGCGGUGCAUUAGCUAGUUGUGGGGUAAUGGGCCUACCAAGGCAGCGAUGCAUAGCCGAGCUGAGAGGUUGAUCGGCCANACUGGGACUGAGACACGGCCCCAGACUCCUACGGGAGACAGCAGUUAGGAAUAUCGUCAAUGGGGGAAACCCUGAACGAGCAAUGCCGCGUGUGCGAAGAAGGCCCUAAUGGGGUUGUAAAAGCAACUGUGUUUGG
rnacentral:rRNA from 1 species